AAGGUAGCAUAGUCAUUUGUCUUUUAAUUGGAGGCUGGAAUGAAGGGUUUAACAAAAGAUAGUGUCUUUAUUUUAAAUUUGUAAUUUAUAGUAAGAGUAAAAAUACUCUGGUGUGAUUAAGGGACGACAAGACCCUAAAAGCUUUAUUUUUAGUAUUAGUUUGAGUUUAAAAUAAAAUAGAGAGUUUAACUGGGGUAGUUUUUUUGUAAAAUCUGAGGUUGUAGAAGGCAUGUAAAGUGGGGUUAGGUCCUUUAGAUAAGGAUAAUUUGAGUGAGUUACUUUAGGGAUAACAGCGUAAUAGUCCUAGGGAGAUCGUAUCUAUGGGGCUGAUUGCGACCUCGAUGUUGAAUUAAAAGCUCAGUGUAGAGCACAAGCUACAGGGUGAGGGUUUGUUCAACCUUUAAAUUUUUACGUGAUCUGAGUUUCAGACCGGAUGGUGCAACCGCUAUUAACGGUUCGUUUGUUCCACCAUUAACAGUCCUACGAGAUCUGAGUUCAGACCGG
rnacentral:rRNA from 1 species